AAGAGAGGUGCUGUAGCUGGGCUUCCUAACCCUCCAGUCUGUAGCGCGGCCUGCACUUUCCUCAGGCUCUGACAGCUCUGAGGACAGGACACCGUACCCAAGCUCUCCCUCAGCCUCUGGGCUUCUCUCACAGCUCUACUUUUCCCCAUGAUGGUUGCCUCCAGAGCAGACUUCAUCUGUCUUUAUCACAUGAUCUCUGGGGGGCCAUUUUCCCCUUUCCAAAAUGGCUGCCUCUGGAGUGGGUUUCUAUCACAUGGUCUCCCAGGAGCCAUGCUGCCCCAUGCUGCUUCCUGGCUGAGUUCACCCUGGGACCUUGUUCUCUCAGAAUGAAAAAGAAAUCCAGAGAUAUUGCUUCACAGAGAAGGGACAGAACCUAAUCUUCAAAUAACUCACUUUCCCUUUCCUGAUUUAACUAAAGCUCACAUCCUAGCUGCUGAUGAAGACUGGUCUCUAUGCAUGGAUCUAUGAUUUUGAAAGGAGUGAAAGAGUCUCCAAGGGUGUGAAAUUGGAGAGAGAGACUUGGAGCAGCUACUAGACAGCAAAAUUAUCCUUAGAAAAAAUAGCAUGAGAAAUCAGGAACAACUCAGUUUCCUGCUCCACAGAAAUGAACAGAGUCAGAGAUUGAAUGAAAGGGAGAGUGCAAACUGAAGUCAAGAAGUUAAGAGAGAUGAACUUUAGUGCUGUUGGAUAUAGGGGAACAUUCUUAAAGGUUAAUGAAAGUGAUGCAGUGCAUAUAUUCCACAAGUCCUGUGAAGUAGCUGUUUUUAUAAAAUAGAAGUAGUCUGUCUUCUGAGAAUGUAAAGAAGUCUGGCACUUAUAAAAAUCAUAUCAAGUAUACAAAGAGCUGUUUUGAUAUUUGUAUUAACUGAGAGAAUUAAGUUUAUUCCUGUUUUAGGCUUAACACUGGGAGUUACUUGUGAAGGUUCUCACUGCAUUUUUGUGGGGGUGUGGUAGUUCUCUUUUUUCAUUUUUUAUCUUAUAUACUAUUUUGCCCUAGAAUCUCUUCCUGAAUGUGAAGUGAUUCCUGGUUUUAGUUGCAAUUAUUACUGGUAUUACAGUAGUCAUGGCUUUCAGUGAUACCUCUUCCAUGUCCCACUCAACUCAAGAAUUUAACACGGACAGGUUGCUUUAUUCUCAAUGACAAGUUAUGAUUACUGUUUCUGUUCUGUCUCUUUUGCAAGAUGUGUAUUGUUACGGUGUUUCUAUUGAUCUUUGGGCAAUGUUGGUCUGCUUCAGAACUGCAUUUAUGGUGACUUCUACUGUGCUAGGAAUCUAAUAGAAAAUUAGGCCCAUUUAAUUUCCUUUAAAUAAGAUUGUGAGAGUUCGUAAAGGGUAUCAUUUAUAAAAACUGUUGUUAAAUGAACUGGGAAUGGAUGGUAAAUGGAAUAAAUCAGUUCCUCUCAUCUAAAUCCAGUACAUUCUGAACCAACACUUUGUUACUUAAGGAAUCAGAAGGUGAAAUGUUCUGCCAGAACUGAUUUUUACAUAACUUUUGACUACAUACCAAUGAAUAGUCCUGUCUGUGUCUUUUUUGGGAUCCCUUCAUU